rnacentral:rRNA from 1 species
GUCCACGCUGUAAACGAUGGGUGCUAGGUGUGGGAGGUGUCGACUCCUUCCGUGCCGAAGCUAACGCAUUAAGCACCCCGCCUGGGGAGUACGGCCGCAAGGCUAAAACUCAAAGGAAUUGACGGGGGCCCGCACAAGCAGCGGAGCAUGUUGUUUAAUUCGACGCAACACGAAGAACCUUACCAGGGCUUGACAUGCACGGGAAUGUCGGAGAAAUUCGGCAGCCCUUCGGGGCUCGUGCACAGGUGGUGCAUGGCUGUCGU